rnacentral:rRNA from 1 species
CCCCCCUUAGAGUUUGAUCCUGGCUCAGGAUGAACGCUGGCGGCGUGCUUAACACAUGCAAGUCGAACGAAGCAUUUAAGACAGAUUACUUCGGUUUGAAGUCUUUUAUGACUGAGUGGCGGACGGGUGAGUAACGCGUGGGUAACCUGCCUCAUACAGGGGGAUAGCAGCUGGAAACGGCUGGUAAUACCGCAUAAGCGCACAGUACCACAUGGUACAGUGUGAAAAACUCCGGUGGUAUGAGAUGGACCCGCGUCUGAUUAGCUUGUUGGCGGGGUAACGGCCCACCAAGGCGACGAUCAGUAGCCGACCUGAGAGGGUGACCGGCCACAUUGGGACUGAGACACGGCCCAGACUCCUACGGGAGGCAGCAGUGGGGAAUAUUGCACAAUGGAGGAAACUCUGAUGCAGCGACGCCGCGUGAGUGAAGAAGUAGUUCGCUAUGUAAAGCUCUAUCAGCAGGGAAGAUAGUGACGGUACCUGACUAAGAAGCUCCGGCUAAAUACGUGCCAGCAGCCGCGGUAAUACGUAUGGAGCAAGCGUUAUCCGGAUUUACUGGGUGUAAAGGGAGUGUAGGUGGCCAGGCAAGUCAGAAGUGAAAGCCCGGGGCUCAACCCCGGGACUGCUUUUGAAACUGCAGGGCUAGAGUGCAGGAGGGGCAAGUGGAAUUCCUAGUGUAGCGGUGAAAUGCGUAGAUAUCACGAAGAACUCCGAUUGCGAAGGCAGCUCACUGGAGCGCAACUGACGCUGAAGCUCGAAAGUGCGGGUAUCAAACAGGAUUAGAUACCCUGGUAGUCCGCACGGUAAACGAUGGAUGCCCGCUGUUGGUCUGAAUAGGUCAGCGGCCAAGCGAAAGCAUUAAGCAUCCCACCUGGGGAGUACGCCGGCAACGGUGAAACUCAAAGGAAUUGACGG